AAAGCUUUAAGUUAUUAAACUAUUAACCUUCAAAGUUGAAAAUAAGAGUAAGUUCUUAAGCUUUA
rnacentral:tRNA from 1 species